GAGGCAUGGAAAAGAGUGUAAAUGAUCCUUUCACCUCCGCUGACCUGCAAUAAAGUAUGACAUGUCCAUUAUUUUUUCUUGAAAGCAAGCAAGAAAGAACACCUUCUUCCAGGAGCAGGCAAAGGCCUGACUGAUGGUGGCAGGCCUGAGAUCUGAUGCCUUGGACCAACUGAACUCACACCAUUUUAGACCUGUUUGAAGACUCCUGCCUCAGACAAAGGGCAGUAUGCAUGUAAUAUCUGAAUAUACCUGGGACUAAAAGAAUAACCUAUAAACCAAUCAACAGCAGUCUUGUGGCAAGUAAAGAAAAUAAAUAAAACCAAGGUCUCGCUCAGAAUAAAAGAGCUGAUCCUACUUGAGGUGGAACAAAACACCAAAUCUAGAAGAAGUUGUAUCUCUUUUCACAGCUGAUCUAGAGAGAGUACUUGGGAAUAUAAAUUCCAUGGACAUACUGGUAUAUCUAAACAAUCUCACUAUAUUUGCCUGAUGCCCCCUGGUGGCCAUGGGGACUGGAAGAAGAGUGGAGCCACUCCACCCUGGCGCUAUUGGGGGAGGAAGUCUGCAGGCAAGCAUUCUGCUUGUAAGUGGGAACAAAAGACACAGGGAGCUCACACAGGAAUGCCUUUUCAGGCCAAAGAGAACGGACCAUUUUGACUGAAAUGUGACUUCUGAGCGCAAUACAUUCGUUUGAACAUAUUACCUACCACAGUGGUAAACCCAUAAAAUUUGUAUCCAGAGACCUUUUUCAUAAAAUCAGAGAAUAAAAUCUGC